rnacentral:misc_RNA from 1 species
UCUCUCUUUUUUUUUUUUUUUGGUAAUGAACUUCAGUCACUUACUGCUACAAUGAUGUUUAACUAUACUAAUAUUUUGCAAAAAUGUCAUCAUCUUAUUAUAGGAACAGUUAGAAACAGUGAUAAAAAUACUAAUAUUAAUACUGUUGAUUAUGAGAUGACAUUAGUAAGAUGUUUGAGAUCAGAAGUUUUGCUAGCUGGAAGGAUUUGCAUGAUGGUAGGAAGCACUCAGCCCUUCAUCUGGAGUUCUUGUUUGAGAACUGGGCA